AGAGGCAAGGACCACAGAAAACUGCAGGAUUUAAACUAAUGGAAACGGACCAUCUUUAACAAGCACAAGGCCCUGCAUUUGAUCCUAUGGACAUGAAAACCCUGGUCCUACUCUGUAUAAGAAGGCCUUUUUCAGUUUUAAAGCUGCUUGGUUGUUUCUGAGGACAGUUACUGAGCACCUGCACACACUGAGACUCAGGCAGGCAGAGCUGAUCCCACUAACCUCCCCAGUCAAGUGAGCGUGGGUUUAAGGUCAGCGUGAAUCAGACCAAGACUCUUUAGCUUCAUCAGGGCUGUGGCCACCUGCUGCAAGAUUGGUCUUAUGUACUUGAGUGGCAGUGGGCUAAACUUGUUCUGCUUUAGAAAAUCGUACAAGUUCUGCUCCAACAUCUCAAACACAAGGCAGGACUUCAUAGCUGUUGGUCAUAGAGCAAAGGAUCUCAUGCUGGACCAGCUGGUAAUCCCCUUCUCCGCUGGAACUGCUACUCUUGGUGGUCACAGUGGUGGUCGUGGCAGCAGCACCCACCACGGUUCUGUUCUGCAGCAUGAGAGGGGGAUGUUCUUCUAUGAUCUGCACGCUACCGUUGCUGUCCACUUCCUCACUCUUUCUCUUCAAUCCACAUUUUUGAUAUGGCUCAAGCAAAGAAACGUUGCUCCUGUGAGUCAGGGUCUGGCUGCUUUGGAAGGUUGCUGUAGCGGCGCUGCCUGAGCUAUCAGCAGCUGUUACCACAAUAUGCUCCACCGCAGGAGCUGGGAGAAGGAGGCCCUGGUCGUAAGCAGGAAUAUUGAAAUUUGCUACCUGUUUCUUUGCACUGCAGAAGGCACUCGACGACACUGAUGGGGGCGAAAACACCUGCAGCUGUGAUGCCAUACCUACAUGGAGAGAAGGAAGAGUGAGACCACAGGGCUCACGAUACGAAGCUCACCAACAGCACUGUGAGGACAGGUGUAGCUGAUAAGACCACACUGUACUGUCUCCCUGCUCUCAAAGGAGGAAGAUCUGGUUUGAUUUUAAAUCUCAUUACUGAUCAACUUCCUCUAAAAUCUGUAAACUACAAUGUCCAGAGAUCAACUGUUCAGGACGCUAUNAAAAAAAAAAAAAAAAAAACAACCCGCCAACCAGCGCCAACAUUUUUGUCAGCUGCUUUACCGGUUUGGCAGCCUCUAGCUUCAAUCUCAAAAACUUUACCAAAAUAUUCUUCAAACC
rnacentral:lncRNA from 1 species